CAGCAGCCGCGGUAAUACGAAGGGGGCUAGCGUUGCUCGGAAUGACUGGGCGUAAAGGGCGCGUAGGCGGUUGUUACAGUCAGAUGUGAAAUUCCUGGGCUCAACCUGGGGACUGCAUUUGAUACGUGACGACUCGAGUGGAGGAGAGGGUCGUGGAAUUUCCAGUGUAGAGGUGAAAUUCGUAGAUAUUGGAAAGAACACCGGUGGCGAAGGCGGCGACCUGGCCUUUAACUGACGCUGAGGCGCGAAAGCGUGGGGAGCAAACAGGAUUAGAUACCCGCGUAGUCCCUGUCUCUUAUAC
rnacentral:rRNA from 1 species